CUAAGAGCUUGGAGAAAACUCUCUACAACAUCACACCGCCGCACGCAGGUGGGGUGGGGUGUUGUCGGGGUGAGGCUCACGAAUGACAAACUCCUUCUUUUUCUUUUUCUUUUUUCUUUUUUUUUUUCGGGUGCCCAGAUAUGGGAGUUUUGGUUUUUGGGGGUUUGUUCUUUGGGUCUUGGGCGGAAGGGACAAGGUAGUUAUGUCUGUCAUAUGAAUUUUUGAGGGUUUGCUUAUGGAUUUCUUUUUUCUGGUUUGGAUCUCUUCAAGUCUUGUGGAGAUCUUUUUAGAUUUGGAACAAAUCUCCAUCACAGCCAUGAGAUUUAUCUUUCUUGAGGCUUGGGCCUUAUUAUCUAGAGGAGAAGCCAAUGUUUUUAAGGUGAAAUUUUCAUAGAUAAGGUGUUGUGGCCUGGUUGAGGAGAGAUAGUGCUUUGAUGCUUGUUUGAUUAUCUGGAGGAAGCUAGUGGUCAUGCCCUUUCUCUUGAUGGUGUUCCCUUCUCGAAUUUGAGGCGGUUUUACCAAUUGCUGGGUUCGAUUUGGCACUAAUUUUCCAUGAUAUUUAUGCUUUGUAUGUUUUAUCUGGUUGGCUUCUAGUGAGCUAGUUUCAUUGGAUUUUGUUUGGCUCAUUGUAUUUGGCCUUUGUGCUUGAAUUGUAAUCCUAGAUUAAGCUGAGACCCUCCUUUUUCAGUGAAUUUGUUUAUCAACUAGACUAGAACUAAUUGGUAUAUGUUGUGGAUCAGCUUUAUGAUUUGUAAUUUUUUCAAGAAUAACAUGUUCAAUAACAGUAGAAUUG
rnacentral:lncRNA from 1 species